rnacentral:rRNA from 1 species
UACAGAGGGUGCAAGCGUUGUUCGGAAUUACUGGGCGUAAAGCGCGCGUAGGCUGCUCAGAAAGUCGGAUGUGAAAGCCCUGGGCUCAACCUAGGAAGUGCAUUCGAAACUUCUGAGCUGGAGUUCUGGAGAGGAAGGCGGAAUUCUCGGUGUAGAGGUGAAAUUCGUAGAUAUCGAGAGGAACACCGGUGGCGAAGGCGGCCUUCUGGACAGUGACUGACGCUGAGACGCGAAAGCGUGGGGAGCGAACAGG